CCUACGGGAGGCAGCAGUGGGGAAUUUUGGACAAUGGGCGCAAGCCUGAUCCAGCAAUGCCGCGUGAGUGAAGAAGGCCUUCGGGUUGUAAAGCUCUUUUGUCAGGGAAGAAACGGUGGGAGCUAAUAUCUCCCGCUAAUGACGGUACCUGAAGAAUAAGCACCGGCUAACUACGUGCCAGCAGCCGCGGUAAUACGUAGGGUGCAAGCGUUAAUCGGAAUUACUGGGCGUAAAGCGUGCGCAGGCGGUUUUGUAAGUCUGUCGUGAAAGCCCCGGGCUCAACCUGGGAAUUGCGAUGGAGACUGCAAGGCUUGAAUCUGGCAGAGGGGGGUAGAAUUCCACGUGUAGCAGUGAAAUGCGUAGAGAUGUGGAGGAACACCGAUGGCGAAGGCAGCCCCCUGGGUCAAGAUUGACGCUCAUGCACGAAAGCGUGGGGAGCAAACAGGAUUAGAUACCCUGGUAGUCCACGCCCUAAACGAUGUCUACUAGUUGUCGGGUUUUAAUUAACUUGGUAACGCAGCUAACGCGUGAAGUAGACCGCCUGGGGAGUACGGUCGCAAGAUUAAAACUCAAAAUAGAAGUUAGACGGCGUGAGACGUAGACCGAACGGACGACGACGAGGGAGGAGGG
rnacentral:rRNA from 1 species